CUUCUAGGAAUGCUCUCCGAAACUCAACUUUAUAGCCACGCCGUGCUCCUCUGCGUCUUAUGUUGUUUUACUUGAAGUUGUCAUUAUUUUUUGAGUGAGCUGGCAAUAAGCAAAUUUAAAGAGGCCCAUGAUGACUGCUGGGGGAUGACAUGACAUCGCUAAUGAGGAAAGGCCCAUCGCAAGACCACACGCACAAGGGUUUGAUGGCGUUGCAGUGCUGAUGACUAACUCCUUCCACUUUGUUUAUGGUAUUUGUUACAGGGAACACACAGAAAACAUCAGACAUACAUGAACCAUCAAACAAGCUGACAACAGUACAUCUACUUUCUUUCCUAAUCCUCAGCACUCCGGCUAGAAGACGAACGAGUCGAGAGGCAUCUGGGAAUAAAAUGAGAUCAGAAAGUAAACAGAGACCAAAUGCGCUCUAAUAAAACUACAGAUCUUCUAGCCGGCUCAUUUCCAUAAAGCAGUUCCUGUGCAAAUCAGGAUUUAUGGAAUCUGAAAUGAUAAAAGUCUAUAAUGCUGCAUCUGAAUUUGAAUACUACUCUCAAAGUAAAUGGUUAACACAGGUGAUUAAUUAAAUAGAUUUUUUUUAAAGAUUUACACAGUUAAUCCAUUUAAAUUACAAGUAAGUCUCAUUUAUCAGUAAAAUGAUGAAUAAAACACUUCAAACCGAUUUAACAAACAUGAACAAAUGUCAGUAGUACUCUUUGUUUGGAGGAAUUUAACUAUCAAAGCUUCACAUAAAUUAUACAUUUCAGAUACAUUUCAGAUAAAUGCUGUUCUUUUGGACUUUCUAUACAAUGUAAAAAAUAAUUGUAAUUUUAACAGUAAAAAAACUGUUAAUUGGUUAAAAGAAAGUUCACGUACUAUAUGCGGUACAUAACUGUGAUAUCAUUUUA